rnacentral:rRNA from 1 species
AGUGAACGCUGGCGGUAGACCUAACACAUGCAAGUCGAACGGCAGCACAGUAAGAGCUUGCUCUUACGGGUGGCGGGUGGCGGGCGGGUGAGGAAUACAUCGGAAUCUACUUUUUCGUGGGGGAUAACGUAGGGAAACUUACGCUAAUACCGCAUACGACCUACGGGUGAAAGCAGGGGAUCUUCGGACCUUGCGCGAUUGAAUGAGCCGAUGUCGGAUUAGCUAGUUGGCGGGGUAAAGGCCCACCAAGGCGACGAUCCGUAGCUGGUCUGAGAGGAUGAUCAGCCACACUGGAACUGAGACACGGUCCAGACUCCUACGGGAGGCAGCAGUGGGGAAUAUUGGACAAUGGGCGCAAGCCUGAUCCAGCCAUACCGCGUGGGUGAAGAAGGCCUUCGGGUUGUAAAGCCCUUUUGUUGGGAAAGAAAAGCAGCAGGUUAAUACCCCGCUGUUCUGACGGUACCCAAAGAAUAAGCACCGGCUAACUUCGUG